rnacentral:rRNA from 1 species
UACGUAGGGUGCAAGCGUUAAUCGGAAUUACUGGGCGUAAAGCGUGCGCAGGCGGUUUUGUAAGUCUGUCGUGAAAUCCCCGGGCUCAACCUGGGAAUUGCGAUGGAGACUGCAAGGCUAGAAUCUGGCAGAGGGGGGGUAGAAUUCCACGUGUAGCAGUGAAAUGCGUAGAGAUGUGGAGGAACACCGAUGGCGAAGGCAGCCCCCUGGGUCAAGAUUGACGCUCAUGCACGAAAGCGUGGGGAGCAAACGAGGAUUAGAGUACC